rnacentral:rRNA from 1 species
CGAAAGCCUGACGGAGCAACGCCGCGUGAGGGAAGAAGGUCUGUGGAUUGUAAACCUCUUUUCUAUGGGAAGAAGCUCUGACGGUACCAUAGGAAUCAGCAUCGGCUAACUCCGUGCCAGCAGCCGCGGUAAUACGGAGGAUGCAAGCGUUAUCCGGAAUUAUUGGGCGUAAAGCGUCCGCAGGCGGCUAGACAAGUCUGCUGUCAAAGACCACAGCUCAACUGUGGGCAGGCAGUGGAAACUGUAGAGCUAGAGUACGGUAGGGGUAGAGGGAAUUCCCAGUGUAGCGGUGAAAUGCGUAGAUAUUGGGAAGAACACCAGUGGCGAAGGCGCUCUACUGGGCCGUAACUGACGCUGAGGGACGAAAGCUAGGGGAGCG